rnacentral:rRNA from 1 species
AGAGUUUGAUCAUGGCUCAGGAUGAACGCUGGCGGCGUGCUUAACACAUGCAAGUCGAACGAUGAAGCCCAGCUUGCUGGGUGGAUUAGUGGCGAACGGGUGAGUAACACGUGAGCAACCUGCCCCUGACUCUGGGAUAAGCGCUGGAAACGGUGUCUAAUACUGGAUAUGAACUUGAACCGCAUGGUUACUUGUUGGAAAGAUUUUUCGGUUGGGGAUGGGCUCGCGGCCUAUCAGCUUGUUGGUGAGGUAAUGGCUCACCAAGGCGUCGACGGGUAGCCGGCCUGAGAGGGUGACCGGCCACACUGGGACUGAGACACGGCCCAGACUCCUACGGGAGGCAGCAGUGGGGAAUAUUGCACAAUGGGCGGAAGCCUGAUGCAGCAACGCCGCGUGAGGGAUGACGGCCUUCGGGUUGUAAACCUCUUUUAGCAGGGAAGAAGCGAGAGUGACGGUACCUGCAGAAAAAGCACCGGCUAACUACGUGCCAGCAGCCGCGGUAAUACGUAGGGUGCAAGCGUUAUCCGGAAUUAUUGGGCGUAAAGAGCUCGUAGGCGGUUUGUCGCGUCUGCUGUGAAAUCUGGAGGCUCAACCUCCAGCCUGCAGUGGGUACGGGCAGACUAGAGUGCGGUAGGGGAGAUUGGAAUUCCUGGUGUAGCGGUGGAAUGCGCAGAUAUCAGGAGGAACACCGAUGGCGAAGGCAGAUCUCUGGGCCCGUUACUGACGCUGAGGAGCGAAAGGGUGGGGAGCAAACAGGCUUAGAUACCCUGGUAGUCCACCCCGUAAACGUUGGGAAACUAGUUGUGGGGUCCAUUCCACGGAUUCCGUGACGCAGCUAACGCAUUAAGUUCCCCGCCUGGGGAGUACGGCCGCAAGGCUAAAACUCAAAGGAAUUGACGGGGACCCGCACAAGCGGCGGAGCAUGCGGAUUAAUUCGAUGCAACGCGAAGAACCUUACCAAGGCUUGACAUAUACGAGAACGGGCCAGAAAUGGUCAACUCUUUGGACACUCGUAAACAGGUGGUGCAUGGUUGUCGUCAGCUCGUGUCGUGAGAUGUUGGGUUAAGUCCCGCAACGAGCGCAACCCUCGUUCUAUGUUGCCAGCACGUAAUGGUGGGAACUCAUGGGAUACUGCCGGGGUCAACUCGGAGGAAGGUGGGGAUGACGUCAAAUCAUCAUGCCCCUUAUGUCUUGGGCUUCACGCAUGCUACAAUGGCCGGUACAGUGGGCAGCGAUACCGUGAGGUGGAGCGAAUCCCAAAAAGCCGGUCCCAGUUCGGAUUGAGGUCUGCAACUCGACCUCAUGAAGUCGGAGUCGCUAGUAAUCGCAGAUCAGCAACGCUGCGGUGAAUACGUUCCCGGGUCUUGUACACACCGCCCGUCAAGUCAUGAAAGUCGGUAACACCUGAAGCCGGUGGCCUAACCCCUUGUGGGAGGGAGCUGUCGAAGGUGGGAUCGGUAAUUAGGACUAAGUCGUAACAAGGUAACC